CCCUCCAGCGUCUCCUCGGUUCGAAGACCGCUCUGUCCAUCUGGUUAUAUCUGAUUUCACAGAAUUGACUUGUUUCUUUCUUUUUUCGUUUUUUGGCAAAUAUUCCUUUAUCUUCCUUCUUGCCCUCGUCAACCCAAAGCCCCCAAGAUCCAUCAUCGCUAGAAAAAGUCAACCCACCCUAACAGCUCGAGAGAAUCAUAGGAUGAUUGAUGUCAGAAUCAAUGAGGGCUCUCUGCUACCCUGAUCCUGGUUCUGUAGUCUUCAAAUGCGAGGGAUAUCUCGAUGGAGGAGAAAUGGAGGUCUCCCAGGGUCAGCUCACACGGCAUCUGUCAUGUGGAAGAAGAAGAUAAUCACACAUUCCUUGCGCAAUAAUCCAACUCUGAUUUUUAUUUAGCAAUGAACAACGGCGUAAUAUAUGAAAACUAUGCAAACCUUGCUGUUAUAAUCUCAAUUAAAAGGCGCUAACAACCUUCAUGAAUAGCCAUAGUCAGUCGGGACAACUGGGGGGUUAUAGCGGAGAUAUUGAGGUAGGAGAGGAAAUGAACACUUGAUGGAGGGCAAGAGAUAUGGCAGACUAUUCUCCAUAGGAUUCUUCGAGGGUAUUAGGUGCGGCAUAAUGAUUCAAGCGUGUAUAACUCGACUAAUAGUAUUUUGCAUGCAGAGGUCUUCCUAAGAACUGGUUAUUCUUGAUCUUGAUCGUCUCUAUGCCUCUUGUUUUUUUUUUUUCUUUUACUUAGUGAAUUUAUACGGCUACCCAACAUGGAAAAAAGGACCAAUUUGAUUGUUCCAUUUUUGCUAUUUUGUAAGCCCAGUCGAUAAAAGAGUGCGUAUUUUGGAGAAAUGACGAGGCUUGACAGAAAAGCAAGAGGAGGGUGCUGUUCAUCUUUGCCACGAGGGGUCAUAUGCUUUGAUGCAAAUAAAAUCAAUGAAGAAAAAGCACAAAUCAUUGGCAAUAUUAGGAAUUCUCGCAUGAUGGGCAGCGUCCCAAUGCAGCAGGUGCUCUUGAAUAAUGGAUGCAUUGGCCUUCGAUUCUCUACUGAACCAGAGCAAUCAUUCAUUAUCCACAUUCUAUAAAUUCUUUUCUCUCUUAGAAUAUUAGUCUGGCAGAAAAAAAACGGGGAAAUCAAUAGAAUGAACUGCCGGGAGCAGGGAAUGCAGUAAAAGAAAACGGUAACUCCAACGGAAUUGUCACUAGGUUUUAGCGCAAAGGACUAAAUGAAAUCCAACAUAUUUAAUGCAAUUUGAAAAAAACACUAAAGUGUUGUAUUCUAACAAAGAAACGUUCUAACAGAAACUUCCACCUCUGUAUCUUACAAAUGGUUUUCCUUUUUGCAGUUGAAGGAGAGAAUUCGAGACCAAACUGGAGUUUCUGGACCUUGAAAAUAAAUACAAUGUGUUUAAUCCUUGGAUGAAAAAGCGAAGGCGAUAAAUUUACAUGCAAAUCCCUCCCUGCUGCCGAAUCAUAUCCAUGGCUGGCAAACCCCGUCAAUCUUAAAGAUAGCGUCCCUAUAUGGAGUGCAAUCGUCGUUCCCCUCUACUUUUCUGGCUUAUGAGUUUCAGAGAACAUGGUGAAUUAUAGCAUUUGAGUGGUGUAACUUUGUUGUCUCUUUUACAUCUUUUAUGCUCGUCUCAGUGUGGUGUAAUGGACUGCUCACUAAACAUGAAUUCAGUAUCGAAAUCGAUUGAUGGCUGGCCAUGAAACUACCAAACCCUCUACUGUCAAUUUUUUAUUGGAAUCUGUAGUCUGAAAUCUGAAGAGAUGCCUGUUUCAUAACUAGUUUACGUUGUUUGGAGAUGUGGGAUGAGGAAUCUUCUGCCAUCAUAAUUCAAAGCCUACUUACGCUCAGCCGAAACGGCUGAAGGGCCAUCUGUGAUGUGACGCAGAAAUUAAUUUGCCAAUUCAAAGGCUUUUUUUAAUCUUGAAAAUACGAACUACAGAUGGUCUUGUAGUGUUCAUCAAUGAUAUCACAAGAGAUUUGGAUGUUUUUUCCUCCAAUUCUGGCACCCUGAGACAGGACAUUUUUGAACGCCUGCCAAAAAAUUUAUGCUUACAAAAUAAUUCAACGCUUUUAAUUGCCCGCAAUUGCAAUCGUUGGCCUAUCAAACACUAGAAACAUCGAAAACAAUAUAGAAAAGAAAAACAGACAAAAUCUUCACGCUCCAGAAUCAAAGCAAAAAUGCGCAAAGAUAACAGAUCCAAUCUAAGCUGCGCUGAUGCGGAAGCUGGACGCAGAAACCUUAUAAGACCUAGGUAGGUCGCAAGAAUGUGAUCGAAAAUUGAAAACGAGAUGGAGAAAUAGCGGUCCUCGAGACGCCGGAACGUAACAAGCAGAAUGGGUGGGAGGAUCGGAAUGAGCAUGAAUGACCGCCAAUACCAGAGAAGUUGGAAUCCGUCGAAGGCGUCGCCAGGCAUUAGACGCCAGGCGAAUGUUGAGAGUUUGAAUCCCCUCUGUGCCAUGCCUCGUCCUGUCUCCUCCAUUUGCUCGCUUCCUCAGACCUCGUCUCCUUCCACGCAUCCCCCCCUCAAACAUCUUGCAACCGGUCGCCGGCGGCCGCGAAGCCGACGCGUCUCUGAGAUCAUGGAGAUUGCGAUGUUGGAUCUGCGGCCGGACGCCAUUGGCCUCCACGACAGUGAGGGCUUCUCUCUCAGUCCAGAUACG
rnacentral:lncRNA from 1 species